CACUCCUACGGGAGGCAGCAGUGGGGAAUUUUGGACAAUGGGCGAAAGCCUGAUCCAGCAAUGCCGCGUGUGUGAAGAAGGCCUUCGGGUUGUAAAGCACUUUUGUCCGGAAAGAAAUCCUUGGCUCUAAUACAGUCGGGGGAUGACGGUACCGGAAGAAUAAGCACCGGCUAACUACGUGCCAGCAGCCGCGGUAAUACGUAGGGUGCGAGCGUUAAUCGGAAUUACUGGGCGUAAAGCGUGCGCAGGCGGUUUGCUAAGACCGAUGUGAAAUCCCCGGGCUCAACCUGGGAACUGCAUUGGUGACUGGCAGGCUAGAGUAUGGCAGAGGGGGGUAGAAUUCCACGUGUAGCAGUGAAAUGCGUAGAGAUGUGGAGGAAUACCGAUGGCGAAGGCAGCCCCCUGGGCCAAUACUGACGCUCAUGCACGAAAGCGUGGGGAGCAAACAGGAUUAGAUACCCGAGUAGUCC
rnacentral:rRNA from 1 species